rnacentral:rRNA from 1 species
UACAGAGGUCUCAAGCGUUGUUCGGAUUCAUUGGGCGUAAAGGGUGUGUAGGUGGCGCCGUAAGUCGGGUGUGAAAUUUCGGAGCUUAACUCCGAAACUGCAUUCGAUACUGCGGUGCUUGAGGACUGGAGAGGAGACUGGAAUUCAUGGUGUAGCAGUGAAAUGCGUAGAGAUCAUGAGGAAGACCAGUGGCGAAGGCGACUCUUUGGUCUGUAACUGACGCUGAGGCGCGAAAGCGUGGGGAGCAAACAGG